rnacentral:rRNA from 1 species
UCGGGAAUUUUGGGCAAUGGGCGAAAGCCUGACCCAGCAACGCCGCGUGAGGGAUGAAGUAUUUCGGUAUGUAAACCUCGAAAGAAUGGGAAGAAUAAAUGACGGUACCAUUUAUAAGCUCCGGCUAACUACGUGCCAGCAGCCGCGGUAAUACGUAGGGAGCAAGCGUUGUUCGGAUCUACUGGGCGUAAAGGGCGCGUAGGCGGCGCGGUAAGUCACUUGUGAAAUCUCUGAGCUUAACUCAGAACGGCCAAGUGAUACUGCUGUGCUAGAGUGCGGAAGAGGCAACCGGAAUUCUUGGUGUAGCGGUGAAAUGCGUAGAUAUCAAGAGGAACACCUGAGGCGAAGGCGGGUUGCUGGGCCGACACUGACGCUGAUGCGCGAAAGCCAGGGGAGCAAACG